rnacentral:rRNA from 1 species
CCCUUCCCCCCUUCACAUUGCGGAGGAAAAGAAACCAACCGGGACUGCCUUAGAAACGGCGAGUGAAGCGGCAAAAGCUCAAAUUUGAAAUCUGGCGUCUUCGACGUCCGAGUUGUAAUUUGAAGAAGGUGACUUUGUAGCUGGUCCUCGUUUAUAUUCCUUGGAACAGGACGUCAUAGAGGGUGAGAAUCCCGUGUGGCGAGGAUCCCAGUUAUUUGUAAAGUGCUUUCGACGAGUCGAGUUGUUUGGGAAUGCAGCUCUAAGUGGGUGGUAAAUUCCAUCUAAAGCUAAAUAUUGGCGAGAGACCGAUAGCGAACAAGUACAGUGAUGGAAAGAUGAAAAGAACUUUGAAAAGAGAGUGAAAAAGUACGUAAAAUUGUUGAAAGGGAAGGGCAUUUGAUCAGACAUGGCGUUUGCUUCGGCUUUCGCUGGGCCAGCAUCAGUUAUAGCGGUGGAUAAAUCCUCGGGAAUGUGGCUCUGUUCGGUAGAGGGUUAUAGCCCGGGGAAUACAGCCAGCUGGAUGAGAUCGAUCUACAAGAGCUCGACAAACAUCAACCCCC